rnacentral:lncRNA from 1 species
AUCUUCACGAUCCAUUCUAGGCUUCUUCUCUCCCUCUUUCUCAUCAACUAACUGAUUCAUAUGUAGUUGGUGUUAAACAUCCCUUUGGCUGUGCCCCUGAUUUACUCUGCUUCGUUUUAAUUUACGUGAUAUAAUUUGAUUUGUUAUAGAAUUUAAAAUAAUAAUAAAAAUUGUAAUCUUCACAGAUGUGAACAAGGAGUAAUAUAUGUUCCUAGCUCUUAAGUACUACUUGUAUAGUGCCUAUCUAACUUUGAGUAAACAUGGACGCUUCAAUUGUCAUCAUGGAAUGACUGAAAAGGCUGCCACGUAUCGUACAUGAAACUCCCAUGUGACUAAUGUAGACAAGCUCCAUUUGUACCACUCCAUAGAUAUGCACUGUCGGUUAGGGGCAGAGUUAGAACGUUAGGUUCAUCCCAACUCCUCUUUAUCAAAAUUUCUUACUCUACUAUUGCUAUAACCAUUUCAUAAAAUGGGACAUGACCGAGUUCUGUAGGCUGUCACUCGCUGUGAAAAAAUAGAAGAUGAGUAAUUACUUUACUUAGAGCCUGAUUGACUUUUAAAAAAUACAAUUUUUAAGUUAAAAAUAAAAAAUUUAAGUCAAAAAAUAAAAUAAAAAGUUGGGGGACACCUACUCUUGGUUUUUGACUUAUUUUUGACCUUGUCAAACACUUCCUAACUUGUUUUUAAUCAUUUUUACUUAUUUUAAGUUAAUUUUUUAUAUUUUUCAAACACUUUCAAAAAAGACCUACUUUUAAGCCAAUCCAAAGACCCUCUUAGUUUUUUUUUUUCCUUCCCUAGGAGCUCCCACCCCUUUUGCUCCCUUGAUGACUCGAACUCGCAACCUUCGAAGUGAAAGUGAGGGUGCUUACCAUCCGAGCAACUCCCUCUCGUCAAAGACCCUCUGUUGUUACAAUGAUUUUAUGUUUUUUCGCUAGAUUUAAGAUAAUUUGGACUAAUUAAAAGAAUUAAAUGGUAGUUUUAUUGUCCAAAUAAUUUAAAUUAUAUGAAAUUAUUAUCAUAAUUAUCUAUAUACAUUUAAAAAUCGCAAUCAAAUAAUACUAUUGCUUGUCGAAAGCUAGUUUGAGCAAGAGAAAGUAUAGUAUUUUACACGGUAUCUCAAUGAAAGAUUUAUUGAACUUAUUACUCAGAAAGCUACAACUACGUAUAAAAGAUAGCUCUACACAUUAUAACACCUUAAAAAUUCAGAGAAGAAAACAAUGAUGCAUGUUUGACGCAAAAGUUAAAAAUGCCUAUUUCUCCGAGUUUUACUAUGAUGCCAGUGCCACUGGUCAACAAUAAGAAGGAUGAUAGUCAAAACUUUGGUCAUUGACUGACUGACUCUAUGUAUGCUGGUCAUCAAUUGAUUUACGCAAAGCUAUCAAUAACUGACAAAUGAAAAUACAAGUCAUUUUGUGGCCAAUUGAGAUAAAAGGCUGGGGAUGAAGAUAAAUACUAUUCCCCUUCCAUCUCAUAUUAGUUGAUCAUUUCAUAUUAAUUGUUUAACUCAUUAAAUUUAAAAAAUAUUAAUUAAACUUUUUCUAUAUUACUCUCACAAUCAGUUCUUUUUUAAAGUGUUCAAGUUUUAUUUAUAAAAAGUGAAUUAAUGAAAAAAGAAAUUGAUCGACUAAUAUAAAACGGAGGGGUAGCUUUUAAUUUUUCAUGUCUAUCAACAUUGCGAAGACAGCAAAUCGAAAUCUAAUAAAUGCAAAGCUAAGGAUAUUAGAGUAGUGGCCAGUAAUGUUUGGAGUUAGGAAGGCCAUUAUAUUGUCAAGUUUUUGAUUGCGGCUUUACCUUUCAACUGGGCCCAAAAUCCAUGUGAAUUAGGCCCUGACUUCUAACCCACUAAAACUUGUGGUUAAGGGUGGAUCUCAAUCCAGCUCCAAUUGGCAGCAACCCAUUGGGUGAAAUUCUUACACAAAAACUCAUCUGACUCAGCUUUACUAAUUGUGUUAAUGUCUGACUGAGCAGCAGCCACGAGGUCUCUCAACAGAGUACAUUUUUGGGUUUAUCCUAAACAAUGUAUGAGUAUUUGAAAGGACAAGAAAAAUGAGUGAUUUGACGCAGACGUUUUUUUCCUGUGCAUUAGGAAUUGGUAACAGAACACACGUACGUAGCAUUUGUAGUCGGUAUCCUGGGAAUGUGCUCUCAAAAUAAUUUAAAUUAAACUUCUCUCGUAAAAAAAUAAAAAAGUUGUAAAGUUUGAGAAGAAUUAUAACUGGACUACAAAAUCAAUUCUCUUUAAUAAAUAAAUAAGUGUGCAUUACUGACUAUUUUCGAAUUCAAGAAUGACAACUUCCAUGUAACACUAAACAGAACUUUUUCACACGUAAAAAAUUCAAUCUCUAGAACAAUGUUUUGAAGAAGAAAAAUAAACGGGUGCUAUGACUAUUUUUCAAUUAUUUUAUAUUAAUUAGCAGUCUUAAAAGUGGCUACCACUAUUAAGAUCUCCUUCCAAAUAUGAUCGUAACACUUAGUCAUGGGUGGUGUUUGAGGAGACAAGGUGCUGCUAAAUGCUAAUGGUGGAAGAAGUGAGUGGAGAGGAUUUGCACAAAUAAUUAACGGAGGAUAAAAUUAACCCAUUUCACAUAGUAAUAAGGCAAAAUUGAACCUUAUCCCUUCCGAAGAUCGGAUGACUUUUAAAAGUAAAAAGGGAAAUCAAGAAUCCAGCUUUUCAGUUUCAAACUUUUCGAAAUGGAUGUCUCAUUCCUUAAAUGAUACUUCCUCCAUCCACUUUUAUUUGUCAUGUUACGUUUUUCAAAAGUCAAUUUGACUAAUUUUCCAAGUAAAAUUAGAUUACAUUAAUUUAAUAUUUUAAACAAAAAAAAAUCAGAUAUUCAAAAACUAUACGAAUAGUACUAUAAAUUGCAUUUUUUUGCAUAUCAAUAUCACGAAAAAAUACAUCGUAAAAUGUUAACCAAAGUUCUUAUAAUUUGACUCUAAAAAAGGAAACCGUGGACCACUCUAAAUUUUGAACUGUAAAUUUAUAUACAGUCUCGUAAUUAACGUUCCCAAUCAAAAUAUACAAAACGUUCUGGCAAAGUCUCCCAGUAAAAAUAAACAAGGUGAAUUUCUCAAAAUAUUACUGCUUCCAUGAAUUAAUGGCUUAGUUGACUUGGAUUGUUUAUAUCAAUGGAGCAUUACUCUUUCUUUUAAGAUCAAAAUCUUACACGAGGGCAUUGAAAAUAGAACAAGGUGUAUUGGCUUAUUAAGCUUGUAUUCUUAAUUGUCAGAUAAAAAACAUAUUUGGAAGAUGUAAUUAAUCCUUAAAUCAUCACGUCUCAAACACAAAAAUCACUUACAAGCAGAAUUGUGACAUUACGCUAGUACUAUCUGAACAAAAUCUUGCAUACACCACUAUGCAUCAGAGUGCACCAAUGUUAGUCAGACCUGAUAAACAAUGGAAAGUGUGUCAAUAAAGUCGAUAUAUUGAAUAAAAUAUGAAAAAUGUUAUUGACAUAAAUUAUAAUAAAAAUGCUUAAAUAGAGUUAUAUGGGUGUGAUUAUCUCUCUAGUCUCCCCCUAAAAGGCAAUCUCUUGGACAAAGCUCUCCCACCUCAAUUGAUUCCAAAAGCCAAAGGCCCCAGGACCCACUUGUUCAACCUCCCUGUUGCUUGACUCCACCAGAAUCAUCAGCCACCACAAGAUAAUGAAACAACUUUUCCUACCCAUUAACUUGUCUCCACGUGUCACCUGUGGAUUCUCUCCCCACUUGGUAGUUGCCUAGUUGUCAUUUUCCGUCCUUUGCCCCUUCACAUUUCACAGUGCCCCAUAAGUCUCCAGCAUUCUUGCUCAACUUCACUACUCCAACUACAAGUUUUACAACACAAAAUAGAGAGCAAGAAAGAAAAGAAAAGAAAAGAGAAACCAAAAUUAGUCAGUCCAAUGUUGAAAAAAGAGAAGAGUGGGGGGUUUGAUGGAAGUAGCAACAAUUGGGCAAGGGUGUGUGACAGUUGCCAUUCCGCAACAUGUACCGUUUACUGUCGGGCGGAUUCCGCCUAUUUGUGUGCGGAUUGUGAUGCCCGCAUACAUGCAGCAAGUCUCAUGGCUUCUCGCCACGAGCGUGUAUGGGUUUGCGAAGCCUGCGAGCGUGCCCCUGCAGCCUUUCUUUGCAAAGCGGAUGCUGCCUCACUUUGUGCCUCUUGCGAUGUUGACAUCCAUUCUGCAAACCCCUUGGCACGUCGUCACCACCGUGUCCCAAUUAUGCCCAUUCCAGGUAGCCACCAUUUCUUUUUUCACACACAACAUAUAUACUCCUACAUGUUAAAAAUUUCAAUAAAUAUGACUUCUAAACCAUAAUUUCAAAAAUGUAAAAAUUGAAUCCAUCAAACUUAAAUUCUAAAUUAGUCUCUGAUUCAAAUAUCCAGGAACCCUCUAUGGUCCUCCAGCUGUUCACACCGUUAGCGGUGGUUCUAUGAUGAUCGGUGGGACCACAGGGGAAGGCACGGAGGAUGAUGGAUUCUUGAGUUUGACUCAAGAUGCAGAUGAUACAACCAUAGAUGAAGAAGAUGAAAAUGAAGCAGCUUCAUGGUUGUUGUUGAAUCCUCCUGUUAAGAAUAACAAUAAGAACAACAUUAACAAUAACAACAACAAUCAAAAUAACAACUAUGGGAUGUUGUUUGGUGGGGAAGUAGUGGAUGAAUACUUGGAUCUUGCAGAGUAUGGAGGGGAUAGUCAAUUUAACGAUCAGUACAGUGUUAAUCAGCAGCAACAACAUUACUCUGUUCCUCAGAAGAGCUAUGUUGAAGAUAGUGUUGUGCCAGUUCAGAACGGACAGCGAAAAUCUCUGAUUCUUUACCACCAACCGCAACAACAACAACAGCAACAACAACAAAGUCACCACCUGAAUUUUCAGCUUGGAAUGGAGUAUGACAAUUCUAACACUGGAUAUGGUUACCCUGCUUCUUUGAGUCACAGUGUAAGUUUUCUUCACUUUAUCGAUAUACCUCACUUUGUGAGUUGUCUUACGAAGCUACUACUCUGUGCAACAUCAGUUCUUUUAACACUUCUUUUUAGCUUCUGAAUUACUUUUUCCAGCACUUCGUCCUUUUUCAACAGAGGAUUUGUCAUUUUAGGUUCCCAUUUGCUAUUAUGGUUACCUUUACAUACCCCUAAACUGACCCUUGAACUUUUGUCGUAUUAAAUUUUACCUAAGAUUAUGCUCUUUCCCAAAUAAACAAAGAUGUUUAGAUUCUUCUUCACCUUCCUUGACAUUGAAAUAACGUGUAAUUAGUAACUCUUAACAAUUAUCCUUUAUAUUCAAGUUAUAAAUAGUAAUUCACUAUAAUGUUUAAACUGCUCCAAUUCACGUAUGUUACUGUUUAACCGUGUUCUCGAGAUUCUUUGAUAAAACUUAUCCUCAAGGGUGGAAAUUCUAAGAAUCUUUACCUUUUCAGCUUCUCCAUUGGGUUUCUUUUGACACUUGAUUUAACACAAGGUUACCAUGUUUAUGUUAAUAAUCAGCGACAUGCUACACAGAUGUUGCUGUUGCUUUAUGUGCAGAUCCUUAGGAUAAAUCUUGUAGUCUAGCUAGUCUGUUUUCUUGAAUGGACCAUGGAAUUUUUAUGGAUCUAACUUAUAUAUACUAAUAUUAUAAAAGUAAUUACACUUGAAUGUAUUUUAACAUGUUUUUUCACGUAGCUAAUUUCACUUUCUAUGGACAGUCAACUAUAAUUAUCUUUUUAAGUGAUACAUGAAUAGGGAAGUUGACCACUCAUGUUUUUGUUGUCUUUAUGUAUCAUCAGGUUUCCAUUUCGUCGAUGGAUGUCAGUGUUGUUCCAGAAUCUGCACUAAGUGAAACUUCAAACUCCCAUCCACGACCUCCAAAAGGGACCAUCGAUCUGUUCUCAGGCCCUCCAAUUCAGAUACCUCCCCAGCUUACUCCAAUGGACAGAGAAGCCAGAGUCCUAAGGUACAGAGAGAAGAAGAAGAACCGUAAAUUUGAGAAAACCAUAAGGUAUGCUUCAAGAAAAGCCUAUGCAGAAACAAGGCCAAGAAUCAAAGGCCGAUUUGCAAAGAGAACGGACGUAAAGGCUGAAGUAGACCAGAUGUUCUCCACACAAUUAAUGACAGACAGCAGUUAUGGAAUUGUCCCUUCAUUCUGAAUGCAACAAAGAGAAGAUCAACUGCAAGCCCCUAAACCUAGAAUUAAUAUUGUAUCUCUUACGUCAUUAUCGAUCUAAGGCUAUUGGAUAAUGAGAAAUGUACUACAGCAGUUUUCCACAGAGGAUUUGUUAAAUUCUCUGCUUUGUUGUAUAUGUAAAAAGAGUUCUUCCUUGUAGACCACGCUGCAGUCAAUACGUACAAUUUUUCUCAGGAAGAAGUAAAGAAACAGAUCCUCCAGUGUGAAGGGAUUGACCCAACAAGACAAAAAGUACUAGUUCCGCGAGAAGCAAAGAGUUGACUGCAGUAACAAGGAGUGUGGUGGGAUGGAUGAGACAUCAACAACCUUAACCAGAAGUCUCAGGUUAAUGGAAAAACUUUUAGUAAGAAAUGCUUACCUCCUUAGUGGACCUACCUGACACAUAGAUAGAUACUGGAUGCCUAAAGGGAAAAAGAAAAAAGAAAAGAAGAAUUGACUGCAUAUAACUUUUCCACAUUAAAAGAACUCAGUGCAGCCACAAGUAAUGGGAAAAGCAAAAUUACCGACGACCUCUCGAUGCUCAGUGGCUGUAUAUGACAUUGUGUGCUGGUGCAAUAUAAUUGAAGCUGAGUUCUGCUGUCUGCUGUCUGCUUUCUGCUUUCCCUUGUGGUCAUCUUUUUGUUGGAACAUACUCUUUUUGGAUGACAUAUAAUGUUCAUCAAUACCUGCUUUUGGUCCAGGGCCUCUUCCCAGAUUCUCCUUCAAUACAAUGAAUAUCCCAUCACUGAAGAUAAAGAAUAAAAGGUCCACUUCUCCAAGGAUAGGAAAGCACAAUAUUUUUGCCGAAAAUGGUACUGCAUAAGCGUAAGCAAAAUACUGCUAUGAUCAUCAAACUUUUAGUUGUAAUGACAGAAUCAAGGUACACGAUAUCCCUAAAAUAGCUAACAUACAGCUUCUAAUUUGUAAUCAGCAAGGAUAUAGGUAAUUUGCUCAAGAAAAAGAAGCACUUUAGUGGGUGGUGAAAGGAAAACUAAAGGCGAUAGAAGCAAGGGGACUGGGGAACGACAUCUGUUAAGCUAAUGAAAAAUCUCUAAGACCAAUCAUCUGUAUUUACCCUUGCUCAAGUCAAUCAACUACUAAAGUGUUCCUCCUAUCUUGGAAUCUAAAGAGUUCUCACUUCUACAGUUCUAUGUAUCAUCUAUUUCAUUAACUGUUUAUAUAUUAUCAACUAAAAGCACUUGGCAGUAAGAAAAUUACUUGACUCAACAAACUGGUGUUGUCAAAAGCAAAAGGUAAGAAGAGCAACCAGGGUAUGGUCGGGUUUUAAGUGCAAAGUGCGAUUAAAAAGCACACGUUAAUGAAGGAGACGAAGAUGAAGAAGUAAAUGUAAAAAUAAACACAAACAAGCAUUUAUAUGGACCAAGGAAUUGAGAAUAAAAUUGCAAACAUAAUAAAAACAUGUCAAUAAAGUUCAAUCUCAUUGCCCCCAAGGCCUAGCUCAAGUGGCAAAAGGUGGAGGAUUUGUGGCUUAAGUCGCAGGUUCAAGCCCCACACCAUGCAAAGUGAAGCCCGGUAUUUAAGUGGAGAAGGGUAGAGGGGCGGGCCCAUUAUCCACUGAGUUUAGAAGGCUGUGAUUGGUCCAAAGGGCGGGUCACAGACGGAUUUCUCGGUUAUCAAAAAAAAAAAAAAAAAAAAAGUUCAAUCUCAUUUUUUUAUUCCGUUGCAAAGAUGCAAAUUUAAGUUUCUAAUUCAAUUUUAUUGACUAAUUUGCUUUGAUAAAGUAUUCUAUUGACCUAUUUUGAAUCACUAACAUUUUUCCUUAAUGUUUUCUUAACAAGUGAUGUAUCACUUCGCUUUGUAAUUAUUUUUUAGCUUGCCCACUUCAAAAUCAUUAUAAAUUACUUAAACUUAUUAAGAAGCAAUAAGUUGGCUGUCUUUCUAAGGCACAGACCUCACAGUGCCUAAGCAACGCAGAACACCAAGUUUGCGAUGCAUCUAGCUUCAAGGUUUAUGCAUUCCUCAUGCGCACUUCUAACAAAUUGCCUCAUAAUCCAACUUCAAAAGGAAAGAGGUGUGCUUAGAAUAGAAUCUUCUCCAUCUACAUCAAGCAUACAUGACUUAUUAGGCUCAGUUAUUUCUGAACUACUCUACUUACUACCAAAACAGUUUACCACUAAGAAGGAGGUAUUCCAUGGCCUCAAAAGUAUCAGUAAUCAAAAGACAAUGUCCUUUUAUCAGUCUUAAGCUGAAGGAAAGCAUAUUGCACUUUAGCCUUUUUUUUAUGUGAAGUAGUCACUGAAAAAGUAACAAGGCAAGUUCCAGCUUAUCUAGGAAUAAGGUGAAAGUGUAAGGAGGUAAGAACUUUGUGGCUAAGAAAUUUCAUCCAAGAAUGGCUUGGACGUUCACUUUUAGGUCUUUUUUGAUCAUUGGGUACUUUUAGUAUCCAAUUCUGCACUGCUAUUCGUUGAACAGAAGAACCUUUAUCCACCUCACAACUCACUAGCAUAGAAAAAGAAUACCCAUUAAUGUGUCACGACCAAUAUUAUUUUGCUCAGUUAUUUCUGCACUACUCUAUUUACUACCAAAACAGUUUACCACUAAGAACUACUAUCAAUAAAGAUAGUUGCUGCUCUCUUCAUACUUGUUUGCAGGUUAAGUUGCUCAUCUAUCUUUAGCAAUGCAUGUGAUCCAAUUCAUUGGAUUUCAAGUCACAGUAAACUGUGAAGCAUACUACUAGGAGGUAUUCAUGGCCUCAAGCCCUCAACAGAAAUUAGUAAUCAAAAUAUGCAACUGAUUGAACAAGACGCAUAAGGAAAGCAUAUUAAACCUUUGUGAAGUAGUCAUUGAAAAAGUAACAAGGCAAGUUUCAGCUUAUCGAGGAAUAAGAUGAAAGUGUAAGGAAGUAGGAACUUUGUGGCUAAGAAAUUUCAUACUAAAAUGGCUUGGACAUUCACUUUUAGGUCCUUUUUGAUCAUUGGGUACUUUUAGUAUCCAAUUCUGCACUGCUAUUCGUUGAAGAGAAGAACCUUUAACCACCUUACAACUCACUAGCAAAGAGAAAGAAUACUCAUCAAUGUGUCACGGCCAAUAUUAUUCCCACCCAGAAUAAACGGGCAAACAACUCAGAUUGUUUGAGUUAUUCCUGAGCCGUUCAAGUUGGAUCAGGUCCCUCUGAUUCCAUGGGUACUUUAGCUAUCUAUUUAUGCCAUGCCAUUUGCUGAACACCAGCACUUUUUCCGCAGCUCAUAAGAGCCAAGCAAUCCAUCAUGGAGCAAUUCUAGUGAUUCCAAUGCAAUAAAAUUAUUAAAACAACAAAACAACCUUUAAUGAUUUUUCUAAUUCAAUGUGAAAAUAUCAAACUGCAUUGCUGGUUGACUCCACAACAAAAUCCAGAUAUAGUAAUCUUAUUUCUUGUCUGUGAAUAACUAAUUUCGUGCAAAUUUGCUGCUCGAGAUUAUAUCGUACACACACACACAAGGUGGUGUCCAAAAUGCUCAACUCAGUGGCGAAGCCAGGAUUUUCAUAAAUCCUUAAGAGGGUUAAAAAAUAUGACGAAAUAAAUACACAAGGAAGUCAAGAGAAUUCAACAUCCACUAUAUAUACUUAAAAAUAAUUUUAACCGUGUACAUACAAAGUAAUUUUCCAAUGAAAGGGAUUCGAACCCCCUUGCCCUUUCCUGGCUCGACUCCUCGCUACCUCCCACCAGCACGGUUUUCAAAUUAUUCAGCACACCAAGAUUUAGGCAAAUCGGAAAAAUCUGUGUAAUGUCGUCUCUGCUGGAAUUUGAACCUUGGUUUCCAAGGUUUUUAUCCCAACUCCUCAACGUCAAGGAAGAGAACAAAACCAUAUUACCUAAAGAUAAUUUUAUUGGUCGUUUUACAUAUUAUGUGAAGGUGUGAACCAAGGAAACCCACACAUAAGGCUUCCUCAUUUUAGAUUGUAUCAGUUGAGGGUCAAAGUUUGCACCUGGAGGAUAAUCCUAACAAAUAUUCUAUAGAUAUGGUUUAAAAGAGAAUGUAGCACUUUACUUUAUUCUUUUUUUUUAUGACAAGGGAAACCCGCAGCCUCUACCCUUUGGGUGAGCACAGGGUAAAACCCCCGCUCCUCUGCAAUAGCUCGCAAACCACAUAGGAGAGGUAACCCACACUAGGCAAGCCCGGUGCGACGAGCUCGACCCAGAAGGCAAACCCCUUGCUUUUGCUGGCAAGGGGUUUCGAACUUGAGACCUCCAACAUGGAAGUCCCAAGCCCAAACCACUGGGCCAUCCCUAAGGGUUCACUUUACUUUAUUCUUUUGUGGAUCAAGAAUCUUAAGAAAAAGUGAAAAGAGCAUAUUCCAUCUCACAAGAACAUUGAAGUUAUCCUGGACCUGUUGUGUUCCACAGAAGUAACCAGAGAAAGGCUAAAAUUUCAAGUUUGAGAUCCCUCCUAUUCCAUGGGUACUUUAUGUAUCUAUUUCUGCUCUGCCAUUUGCUGAGUCACAGCACUUUUUCUACAGCUCAUAAAUGUCAAGCAAUCCACUUGUGAUUCCUAUGCUUAGAAAAUUACUAGUUUUUGGAGGUAGAGUCCUGAGAAAAAGUGAAAAGAGUAGGUUCCACUUAAGUCACCUGAGCAUAGCUAAGCCUUUUAAGCUUUGAGGUCCCUAAGAUUACAAGGGAACUUUAGCUAUCUAUUUCUGCUCUGCCAUUUGCUGAGCCGCAGGUCUUUUUUCCCACAACUCAUAAAUGCUAAGCAAUCCACCAUGGAGCAAUUCUUGUGAUAGCUAUGCUUAAAAAAUUAUUAAACAAAACAAAACAAUUUCCAGUGAUUUUCUAAUUAAUGCGAAAAUAUCGAACUUCAUUUCUGGUUGAUUACACAACAAUGUCCAGAUACAACAAUCUUAUUAUUGUGAGUGAACAACUAAUUUCGAGCAAGUUCGCUGGUCGAGAUUGUGCCUUACAGAAACACAUAGUGAGGCCAGGCUAUGCAGCUUGAUUAAGUCACAAGGUACCUACUACCUCCAACCGGCUCUACAAGUAUCGAAUAAUUAUGUCCACCAAAAUUUAGGCAAAUGCGAAAAAUUCUAGUAGCGUCACCUCUGUUGGGAUUUGUACCUUGGUACCCAAGGCUAUUAUUCCAAGUCCUCAACUGCUAGGGGACACAGGCAAAUCAUAUUGACUAAAGAUAAUUUUACUAGCUGUUAUUUUUCAUAAUGUGCGAACGAAAGAAGCACACACACAGACGUAGGCAAGAUUUCAACAAAAAUGUUUCAUCUUAGAUUGUAUCAGUUGACUGUCAAAGAAUGCAUACAGAGGCUAAUCCAGGCUAAUAUUUUAAAGCAUAUAAUUAAAAGACAAUGUAGAGCUUCUUUCUUUUAACUUUUGUGGAUGAAGAGUCCUACCAUAAAGGUGAAAAGAGUAGAUUCUAUCUCAGUGAGAACAUUGAAGUUGUUCCACAGAAGUCAUUAGAGCCUGGCUAAGCCUUUCAAGUUUGAGGUCCCUCUUGAUCCAUGACACUUUAGUACCUAUUUCUUCUCUUCCAUUCGCUGAAAACCUGAAACUCUGCACUUUUUACAAAGCUCAUAAAUUUCUUAGUUUUUUGUGGGUGUGAGGCCCUUUCAAAUCCUUAGGACUUUUAUUUAUCUAUUUCCGCACUGUCAUUUGCCAAACAUCAUUACUUUUUUGAUCUGGUUGACAGCCACAACAAAGAUUCUUUCGUGCCAUAUCAUCAAAUUUUAUCCAGUAAUAGCAUUAAGAGGUAAAAUUGUCUAAGCAUUUCAAAUUUGUGUAUUUAGUGGGGAAAAAACUGAAAAAUGCGUUUGUCCUCUUUUUUAUAUACCAAGAUGCAUUUGUAUGUAGUGUAAUCCCUUUGUAUAUACCAAACAAAGAUUCUUUCAUGCCAUACCAAGAUGCUCUACCUUAGAGGCAAUUGUCCCUUUAUAGAUAUAAAAAAAUAAUGAGAACAAACCUAGUUUAAUCCCACAAGUGGGGUCUGGAGGGGGACAGAUGUAUGCAGAAAUACCUUUGUGGGAUAGAGAGAUUGUUUCUAACAGACCUCGGCUAAAAAAGUGAAGUUAUUCGGAAAAGGAUUGCAGGAAGAAAAAGAAAUGACAGCAAAAUAUCAAGCUACAUGCAAAAUAGAACAACAGAUAGCAAAAACAUUGACAAAAAAAAAACUGUGAUAACUAAAUUAAUACUAAUAAAUAGGGACAAGGGGAUAUGAGGUUAGCCCCCUGCCACUCCCAACUAAUGAGCGACCACAUUCAGCUACCUACUAACCUUCUACCCUAAUCCUCGAUUGCCAUACCCUCUUAUCUAGGGACAUGUCCUCAAUAAGCUGAAGUUGUGUCAUGUCUUGUCUUGUCUAAUCAACUCCCCCAUUUCGUUUUUGGUCACCACUACCUCUCCUAACUCCUGUUACAACCAACCUCCUAACUAGCGUAUCUGCACACCUCCUAACUAAUCCACAUUCAGCUACCUACUAACCUUCUACCCUAAUCCUCGAUCGCCAUGCCCUCUUAUCUAGGGACAUGUCCUCAAUAAGCUGAAGUUGUGUCAUGUCUUGUCUUGUCUAAUCAACUCCCCCCAUUUCGUUUUUGGUCACCACUACCUCUCCUAAAUCCUGUUACAACCAACCUCCUAACUAGCGUAUCUGCACACCUCCUCUUCACAUGCCCAUGCCCGAACCAUCUCAGUCUCACUUCUCUCAUCUUGUCCGUCAUGAAUGUCAUUCCCACCUUGCCCCAUAUAGCUUUGUUCCUGAUCAUGUUUCUCCCUUUAUAUAUACCAUUUCUAAAAAUAUGUGUACCUAUAUGAAGCUUGUAUUCUUUAUCAGAAAAAGACAUAUUUGGAAAAAGAAAUAAAUCCUUAAACCAUCACGUCUCAAAUUCAAACAGACUUAUAAGUUGAACCAUAACAAACCGUAACAAUAGAUGUUAGUAUCAUAUGUUCACCACAAUAAAGCAGAAUAUACGAAAUAAUCAGGAAAGAAAAAUUUAACGAAAAAUACAGAACUGUGAAUUAAUUAUCCGAGCCCACAGAAUUCGCUAUGUGUCCUUAAUAAGCCCUAGCCCCAUAUAAGAGAUCUAAAAAGGUCAUUUACUUCUUUUCAAUUUGUACGUGGUCAUAAGAGACCACUUCCUCUCUAUCAUUAGAUAAAAGAUACAUGUCAAUAUUCAGACACCAAAUCAGUUGCCCAACAUACAUUAUUUCAAAUUUGAAAAAAGAACUUUCAUCGUGUCUGUUGCAGCACCAAUUAUUUUCUUUUGAUGUGGUGCUGAGUUUCUUUUCCUAAUGUUAGUAGAGCAUCAAAGUCUCAAGUCUUUCAAAUGAGGUUUUCUAUGACAAAGUUCCUCUAUAUUUUCUCUAACUGCUAUUUUCUUCUCCUUCCUACACUACUAUUUUGAAAUCAUAGAAAGGGAAAACGUCAAUACUAUAGAUGCUUAUCAAAGUACUGAACUCUGAAGGGAUCUUCCAAACAGUAUAAAUUCAACAUGUGAAGUAAGCCUACGUAUGCCAAACUCAGCAAUUCUUACGAUGAAACAAAAAUAAUCUUGCUCUCCAAGAACAAGACUUCCUAAUUCUUCCACUCCACUACUAUAUAUGACCUUUAAAGCAUUCUUCCCGUUUAACCUGCUUAGGCAUAUGUUUUGAUCAUUUGGAUUCUAUUAUGAGAUUCAACGAGAAUCACAUCACGAGAGUAUUCUAAAAACCGAAAUUACAAAAUCAAUGUUUUCAAUACCAUACCAUUCAGGUCCGUACCAUGCCCACCCCUAACGGUGAAAAUCUAAUAAACUAUGGGAAGUGUAUCGGUAUAGUCCACCCCUUAAAGGCAAUCUCUUGAACAAAGCUCUCCCACCUCAAUUGAUUCCAAAAGCCCAAGGCCCCUGGACCCACUUGUUUCAACCUCCUUGUGGCUUGACCCCACCUUCCGGCCCCACCAGAAUCACCAGCCACCACAAGAUAAUGAAAAAACUUUUCCUACCCAUUAACUUCCCUCCACAUGUUUCCCUUGGAUUCUCUCCCCACUUGAUAGUUGCCUACUGUUAUUUUCCCUCCUUUCCCCCUUCAUAUUCCACAGUGCCCCAUAAGUCUGCAGCAUACCUGCUAAACUUCAGUAUUCGAAGUACAACAGAAAAUAGAGAGCAAGAAGAAAAAAUAGGCCAAAAAUAGUUCAAUGUUGAAAAAGGAGAACAGUGGGGGUUUUGAUGGCAGCAGCAAUUACUGGGCAAGAGUGUGUGACAGUUGCCGUUUAGUUACCUGUACCAUUUACUGCCAGGCGGAUUCUGCCUAUUUGUGUGCAGGCUGUGACGCCCGCAUACAUGCAGCAAGUCUGGUGGCUUCUCGUCACAAGCGUGUGUGGGUUUGUGAGGCCUGCGAGUGUGCCCCUGCAGCCUUUCUUUGCAAGGCGGAUGCUGCCUCACUUU